UACGAAGGGGGCUAGCGUUGCUCGGAAUCACUGGGCGUAAAACGCACGUAGGCGGCUUUCUAAGUCAGGGGGUGAAAUCCUGGAGCUCAACUCCAGAACUGCCUUUGAUACUGGAGAGCUUGAGUCCGGAAGAGGUGAGUGGAACUCCGAGUGUAGAGGUGAAAUUCGUAGAUAUUCGGAAGAACACCAGUGGCGAAGGCGGCUCACUGGUCCGGUACUGACGCUGAGGUGCGAAAGCGUGGGGAGCAAACAGG
rnacentral:rRNA from 1 species